rnacentral:lncRNA from 1 species
GCCAAACUGGAGUUUUUAGAGCAAUGUGGGAGUUUGACAACUGUUUUCAGGGACCUGAGAAUAAGAAAUCUGUUGGGAAAUCCCGUUUCCUCCUUGUCCUGCUGCGCCCAGGAUAAAAGGGUCCUGGUGUGGCCCUGUUGGUGCCACUUGGAUCCCUGAGUCCUGGAGCAGUGGGAGGCAGGCUUUCAUCAAUCCAGAAAGGAUGUCCUAUCAGCAGCAGCAACAAUGCAAAGUGCCCUGCCAGCCACCUCCCCAGGUCCCUGUGCCCUGGCCUCCACAAGUCUCUGUGCCCUGCCCUCCCAGGGUGCCUGAGCCUUGCCCUCCCAAGGGACCUGAGCCCUGCCCUCCACCCCCAAGCCAGCAGAAAUGCCCCCCUGUGCAGCAUCCCUCUUGCCAGCAGGAAUGCAUGUCAAAGCAGAAGUGACACCUCUUAAACCACCACACCUUAACUUUGGGCACGGAGCUGCUGUAUCCUUUCUCUGCCCACCUCAGACUCCUUCGUUCCAGCAACUAUAGGAAACACCACACAGCCCCAGGAGAAUCUACCUCUCAACUGACUCAAAGGAGAAUGACAGCUGCGUUCACAGGUUUUCGAGUGAUUGUUCAACUGAUUCCUCUCAGCGUCAACAUCCAGAAACCAGCAGGGAUUGGACCGGAGUUACAAAGGCCUUCCCUGGAACCAUAUGUUUAUAUCUGCUGUGGCCAGGGCAGGCCAGUUCCUUUAGCUGCUGCCUCUGUGCCUCUGCUGCCUCUGUUGGCCUGAGAUCAUCAGAAUGAUGGAAGUGUCCUCCUUUGCCACUGCCUCCUGCCUUUUUCCAAAGUUUUUGAGGUUUUGAGAAGCUGAUAUCUUUUAAGUAACUGAUUUAAGUAAAUGGAAAAUUACCCCUAGUUCCCUCUCUUCCUACACUCUUCAGUUAUGGCGAUGAGGUCUUCUGUUUCCUAUCACCUCCCUGCUUACUUCUUCAUCUCCAAAGACAGCUGACUCUUGCUCUGUCCCUGAGCCUGGACAUUCCCAACCCUGUGAUGCUGUGACUUCCUUCUUCCCACUUCCUUCAAUAAAUUCAGUUGUUUCUGGCUGGGUCUGACUCUGCGCACUGGCUGGUGCUGGGAAGGGAAGGGGAGAAGGUCACUGGUGGAAGAGGAGCAUCCUGGGCCUGGAAGCAGAGCCAGGGAGUGUGUGGGUGCUUGGAAAGGCCACCAGGGGGCAACCAGGAGGCCACAGGAAGGAGAUACAGGGGUUUCCUGGAACUGGGGCAUCCAGACCCCCAUCUGCACUCUGUCUGGGUCCGCACUGCUUGGCAGCUGGCCGCAGGUCCACUAAUAGCCCCAGAGACCUUCCUCCUUUCCUCAGGGCAGGUGCACCAGGCAGGAAAGAUGGGGAGUAUUGGUGUUGUAGGUGGCAGUGUCAGGGUGCUACUGAACUGAGCAAGAAGUGGAGUUUUCAGGGUUCAUGGAAGUCUGGUUUUGGGGCUAGAUUCAUAAUUGUGAGCCUGACCCUCUCUGUCCAAGGAGGCAUCAUGGACCCCGGUCUCUGAGGUCUCUGUGCUGGGAACAGACUCCAUCAUGCCAGGAGUCCACAGCCCUGAGAUUUUC